ensembl:miRNA gga-mir-1782 gga-mir-1782
UGUUAGACUGCCUGGAUUCUAGCCCUUCUCCAAAUGAAUUUUUAAUAGAAAAUAAUUAAACAUUCAUUGGAGCAGGGACAGGAGCCCAGGUCUCUCUCA